AUUGAACGCUGGCGGAAUGCUUUACACAUGCAAGUCGAACGGCAGCACGGGGCAACCUGGUGGCGAGUGGCGAACGGGUGAGUAAUACAUCGGAACGUGCCCAAUCGUGGGGGAUAACGUAGCGAAAGUUACGCUAAUACCGCAUCCGAUCUACGGAUGAAAGCGGGGGAUGGCAAGACCUCGCGCGAAUGGAGCGGCCGCUGUCAGAUUAGGUAGUUGGUGGGGUAAAGGCUAACCAAGCCAACGAUCUGUAGCUGUUCUGAGAGGACGACCAGCCACACUGGGACUGAGACACGGCCCAGACUCCUACGGGAGGCAGCAGUGGGGAAUUUUGGACAAUGGGCGCAAGCCUGAUCCAGCCAUUCCGCGUGCAGGAUGAAGGCCUUCGGGUUGUAAACUGCUUUUGUACGGAACGAAACGGCUCUCUCUAAUACAGGGGGCUAAUGACGGUACCGUAAGAAUAAGCACCGGCUAACUACGUGCCAGCCGCCGCAGUAACAC
rnacentral:rRNA from 1 species